rnacentral:rRNA from 1 species
GAGGAAUAUUGGUCAAUGGGCGAGAGCCUGAACCAGCCAAGUCGCGUGAAGGAUGACUGUCUUAUGGAUUGUAAACUUCUUUUAUACGGGAAUAACAAGAGCCACGUGUGGCUCCCUGCAUGUACCGUAUGAAUAGGCAUCGGCUAACUCCGUGCCAGCAGCCGCGGUAAUACGGAGGAUGCGAGCGUUAUCCGGAUUUAUUGGGUUUAAAGGGUGCGUAGGCGGCCUGUUAAGUCAGCGGUGAAAUCUAGGAGCUUAACUCCUAAAUUGCCAUUGAUACUGGCGGGCUUGAGUGUAGAUGAGGUAGGCGGAAUGCGUGGUGUAGCGGUGGAAUGCAUAGAUAUCACGCAGAACUCCGAUUGCGAAGGCAGCUUACUAAGGUACAACUGACGCUGAAGCACGAAAGCGUGGGUAUCAAACAGGAUUAGAUACCCUGGUAGUCCACGCAGUAAACGAUGAUAACUGGGCGUAUGCGAUAUACAGUAUGCUCCUAAGCGAAAGCGUUAAGUUAUCCACCUGGGGAGUACGCCGGCAACGGUG